rnacentral:rRNA from 1 species
UCUGGUCUGNAACUGACGCUGAGGCUCGAAAGCGUGGGGAGCGAACAGGAUUAGAUACCCUGGUAGUCCACGCCGUAAACGAUGAGUGCUAGGUGUUAGGCCCUUUCCGGGGCUUAGUGCCGCAGCUAACGCAUUAAGCACUCCGCCUGGGGAGUACGACCGCAAGGUUGAAACUCAAAGGAAUUGACGGGGGCCCGCACAAGCGGUGGAGCAUGUGGUUUAAUUNGAAGCAACGCGAAGANCCUUACCAGGUCUUGACAUCCCGAUGCCCGCUCUAGAGAUAGAGUUUUACUUCGGUACAUCGGUGACAGGUGGUGCAUGGUUGUCGUCAGCUCGUGUCGUGAGAUGUAGGGUUAAGUCCCGCAACGAGCGCAACCCUUAUUGUUAGUUGCCAUCAUUCAGUUGGGCACUCUAGCGAGACUGCCGGUAAUAAACCGGAGGAAGGUGGGGAUGACGUCAAAUCAUCAUGCCCCUUAUGACCUGGGCUACACACGUGNUACAAUGGCUGGUACAACGAGUCGCAAGUCGGUGACGGCAAGNUAAUUU